rnacentral:rRNA from 1 species
GACGAACGCUGGCGGCGUGCUUAACACAUGCAAGUCGAGCGGAAAGGCCCUUCGGGGUACUCGAGCGGCGAACGGGUGAGUAACACGUGAGGAACCUGCCCUUAGCUCUGGGAUAGCUCCGGGAAACCGGGAUUAAUACCGGAUACGACCACAGUCGGCCUCGGCCGUGGUGGAAAGAUUUAUCGGCUAGGGAUGGUCUCGCGGCCUAUCAGCUUGUUGGUGAGGUAACGGCUCACCAAGGCGACGACGGGUAGCCGGCCUGAGAGGGCGACCGGCC